rnacentral:lncRNA from 1 species
CACACAAAUUCAGAACUCUAUGGAACUAUAUAUAGUGCAAUACCAUCAUGGUACCUAUGAGGUUUCAUGCUAGAAACUUUUAAAUUGGCUCUUAGCUGAUUGCCUAGUACUGAUAUAAGGAUACAUUUAGAUAGUUUUCAUCUUUAUCCUGUUCCCCAACAGUUAUGCACCAAAGUCUUAUGUCACUGUAGAAGAUAAGGCUUUUAUUGUGCCUCUUUACAGCUUUCGAUUACUAUUGAAGUUAAGAUGUAGGUCCUGUCUUCCUGCAGCCAUAUGAUAAAUAUCAUGAAAUACAUUAUUUUCCAAUAGUUUUACACACACACACACACACAUAUAUAUUUAUAUAUAUUAUUUCUUUUAUGCAUUUCAGCCUUGUGGCUACAGUCAUGCUGGAGCACCACUGUGACUAUAUAACCUUCCCACAUCCCUCUUAUGUGGCUGAUUUCUUUCUUUUGGGUGGUGAGUUUCAUAUAACCACUCUUGCAUAUGCUUUUACCAGGUUGUUGACUUAUUUGGUGUAUGAGGGAGUUUGACACUGCCAACCUUGUCUGUCUCAUGCCUGGUUGUUGGUUUUUCUGGUAUUGUGGAUAGGGGAAUGUCUGGUUCCUUUUUAAAGACUUCCACAUCUACAUUGUUUAGGUAUCUUAAUUCUUUUAGCAGUACAUUAUACAUACAUGUAUAUAUUUAUAUGUGUGUGUGUCUGUAUAUACA